rnacentral:lncRNA from 1 species
CUAAAGACGGGUGCUCUGCCACAGACUAACAUGUAUCUUUCUGUUCUUCAUCAUAGUGAUUGAUCUGUGUUGUGAGGGUUUGGGGGUGAUUAAAUAAUCUGAUUGGGAGGCUAGGUGAUCCGGACUAUCUACAGUGAGCAGACUUAAUGGAACAGAAGUGAUGUGUUCAAGUGAUAAUAAUGAUAACCACAGAAUCAUUAAACUUGAUCAGUUUGACCUGUUUGCUUCCCUAAUGGUGUGUAUAUACAUGCAUGUAUAUGUCUGGACACAGUGUGAAUGUAAGUGGUAAGCGAAAAGAAGGUAAGAAAUACUUCAUAUAUUAAUGAACAAACUUAAAUCUAGGGAGGAAUACCUUAGUACUUUAACUGCCUUGGUUACAAACCAAAUAUUUUGGCCUGGAAUUGUGUAUAUGUGUGUGUAGGCUGUUACACUGGCAAAAACCUUCUCAUGGGUGGGCUCUAAACUUCCAUAAUUUCUGCUUUAAACUUUGAAAGUAAUGUGCUUCUGAAUGCUUUAUUAUAUUUCCAAGUCAGUAUUCAUGAUAUCCUGGAAAAGUUUCUCGGGAUAUA